rnacentral:lncRNA from 1 species
GUUCUAAGAUUAAAAUUAAUUAUUAUAUUUCUAGACUGACUCUCAGUCUAGCCCAGACUUGCUUCAAAUUCAGUUAUGUGUCCUAGUCAGGCCUUCAACUUCAGGGUGUCUUCUGACCUUGUUUCCCGAGUGCUACGUGUAUGAGCCACCAUCUUCCUGGGGAGAAGACUAAAGGCUAGAGCCAGGUGAAAGCACUGGUAGGUUAUUGCCUGAAGGGAAGCAUUCACUUUCCAGACAAUAUGGCGAAAUAAAAUGAGAUUCAUAAAUAACUUUCCUGUAAAUGUUUCUGCGGAUCUGAUUCAUGGCAAUCAUUAAGUAUAAUGAGAGCAGCUAGAGCGGCCCAGCCAUAGCAUUCCCUAUCCACAGGUACAAAGUCAGCAUGCCCGAACUGCCAGUGCUUAUUUUGCAAGGUUCUCAUGAGACAAAGACGGUCGGGGUUCACGAUCAUCAUCCAGGGCAUUGAAAACUUCAGCACGGAUCCUUGCUUUUAAAUGUCCUAACACUCCCCUUUUUUCCAAGGUGUCCUUUAAAAC